GGCCUGUAGCUCAGUGGUAGAGCAUAUGUUUAGUAUACAUGAGGUCCUGGGUUCAAUUCCCAGCACCA